rnacentral:lncRNA from 1 species
UACAAUCCGCUCUUGAAUACACCUAUAAGAGAAAUGCCAAAGGCAAGAGGAGGGGAACUGAAUUCUCCUAAGCAAUUUCUAUACUUUUAAUACAUACAUACGUUAUUGUUCUAUAGAUAUCCUCGGUAUUUGUACUUGAAUUCUACUUGUUUCCAAUCAUACCUUUUUUAUACGAAAUCAUCAAUAUACAUAUUUUUUUACACAUUUUUUAAGAUAUCGAAAUCUUAC